GUUUUUUUUUAGUUUGUGUUUAGGAUUUUUUUUAGUGUGUAAGUUUAGAUUUCGAAUAAAGUCUUAAUUUUUUUUAAAUUAAUAUUUUCUAAUAGGCUCAAAUAAUUUAAUAAAUUUAAGAUUCACCACUGAUUUUGAUAUCAAAUUAUUCAAUAUACAAGUUUGGCUCAAAUAAUUUAAUAAAAUUCAAGAUUCACCACUGAUUCUGAUAUCAAAUUAUUCAAUAUACAAGUUUGGCUCAAAUAAUUUAAUAAAAUUCAAGGAAAUUUAAUAUUUUUAAAUAAAAGUAUGAUAUUUUAAAUAGA